AGAAUCAACGCUGGCGGCGUGCCUAACACAUGCAAGUCGAACGAGAAAGUGGAGCAAUCCAUGAGUAAAGUGGCGACCGGGUGAGUAACACGUGACUAACCUACCUUCGAGUGGGGAAUAACCUCGGGAAACCGGGGCUAAUACCGCAUAAUGUCUUCGGACCAAAGGAGCAAUUCGCUUGAAGAGGGGGUCGCGGCCGAUUAGCUAGUUGGUGGGGUAACGGCCCACCAAGGCAAUGAUCGGUAG
rnacentral:rRNA from 1 species